rnacentral:rRNA from 1 species
AGGGAAUCUUCGGCAAUGGGGGCAACCCUGACCGAGCAACGCCGCGUGAGUGAAGAAGGUUUUCGGAUCGUAAAGCUCUGUUGUAAGUCAAGAACGAGUGUGAGAGUGGAAAGUUCACACUGUGACGGUAGCUUACCAGAAAGGGACGGCUAACUACGUGCCAGCAGCCGCGGUAAUACGUAGGUCCCGAGCGUUGUCCGGAUUUAUUGGGCGUAAAGCGAGCGCAGGCGGUUUGAUAAGUCUGAAGUUAAAGGCUGUGGCUCAACCAUAGUUCGCUUUGGAAACUGUCAAACUUGAGUGCAGAAGGGGAGAGUGGAAUUCCAUGUGUAGCGGUGAAAUGCGUAGAUAUAUGGAGGAACACCGGUGGCGAAAGCGGCUCUCUGGUCUGUAACUGACGCUGAGGCUCGAAAGCGUGGGGAGCGAACAGGAUUAGAUACCCUGGUAGUCCACGCCGUAAACGAUGAGUGCUAGGUGUUGGAUCCUUUCCGGGAUUC